CAGUCAGUCGCGGGGACGACGCCGGCCGAGCGCCACGCUAGCACGCCACGCUCUCCGCAGGGGAAGAUGAGCGUGCCGGCAUGAGGCAAGCCGCGGCUGCUCGCUGGGCUGUGGCGCUGCUGCUCGCCGCCGUCCUCACGGGCAGGGACAUGUGCUGGGAGGUGCGGCCGCUGGCGGAGGAGGUGCGCGCGCUGUCCGGCGCGGUGCCGCUGCAGCUGGAG